rnacentral:piRNA from 1 species
UAUGCCAGAGUUCUAGUGGUGG